UUUCUCCAGCCAGGCCGAAUCAUAGCUCCUUCCUGUUCCCCGGCAAUUCGGUCUGCUUGCAGGGAGGGUAUUGCUCGCUGCAGGCAGCCAGUUCUACCCGUGAGCAGCUUGGCACCUUGGGACCUCUUCUCAGCCAGCCAUAGGUGAGCCCAUUGCUUGCAGCAACUGCUGGUUGAUGGGGACUUUUCCACACUCACCAUUGCCAGGAAGAUCCUCACCAUCUGUGUGGGUGCUUGAGGGGAAACGGGACCACCCCACCUAUUCUCUCUCUCUCUGGAGAGAGGGAGCCCCAGGUGCUGCUUGACUGGAACCACAGCAGAGCUGCCAUGGCCAGGAUACUGCCACAGACAGAUUCCUCCCUGGAGUGAGGAUGCUCCUCAAGGUCAUGCCUUGAGGCUGAGAGAAAUGUUUGCCCAUGGUCAUUGGUUUGGGUUCCACCUGCACAUUGGAUGGGAGAGAAGGUCACAGAAAGCUGUCAGCAAACAUGAAGCAAAAGGACCUCUGGACAGCAAGGCAAGGAGAUGCCUACUCUGAGACCCUGAACUGCACCAGACAACACUGGGGGCACAAAGCUCUCGCGGGGGGCUGUGCAAUAGAGGCCAGUGUGUGUGUGCAGGGACAUGGCACCAGGGAGGGGGCAGUGGAGUGAAGGUGCCCUUGUGAAAGCCAGGGUCUGCCACAAGAGAGAGAACAAACAACGGGGUGUGUCCACAGCAGGGACAGGGAGAGGCAAGGGAACAAGCAGAGGUCUCCAAAGCACUGCCUGGGCUGAGGUGCCAAGUUCCAGAGGAGCCUGAGGCUCUGCAGAGGCAGUGAAAGCCCAAUUUACCUGCUCGCCACUUCUACUGGGCACAGUGGAUAAUUCAGGCCUCUCUCUCUUCUUCUCUGCUGAUGGACCUGGCUGCUUAGAUUCCAGGCUGGUCCUCGAGCCAUGUAACAGCUGCUCCUCUUGUGCUCCAACAGCCUGCUGGGUAUGAAGAGAGGAGAUGAUGCCCAUAUUUCAAACACCUCAGAAAUCUCCAUCUCAGGAAGCAUCUUCAAAGCACCAGCAGUGCAGCUGCUGUUCAGCCCUCAGAACAAAACUCAGCUGGGUUUAGUCCAUCACUCUGCUCACUUGCUCCAUUCCUUUGCACACAGAAUCCAAACCCCCAUGUGUUGCCUCCCCUUGUGUGGGCACAGGAGAAGCAGCUCCCCAUGCCCAGCUUUUGGGCUAGAGCUGGUUUGAACAGUGAGCUCCUGCACAGGCAGCCCAGGGCCAGGGAGCAAAUUCUCCCUCUCCCAAACAUCAGAGUAUUCCACAACGGGAGCAGAACACAAUAUGGGCAACCAAGCCCGGGGGAAGAAUGAGCCUUCAAGCAGUCCCGAGGCCUUGAAACUCAUCAAACUCUUCUUUCCUGACACCACAGGCUUCUGUUCCAGAGGAGCCUGAGGCUUUGCAGAGGCAGUGAAAGCCCAAUUUACCUGCUCGCCACUUCUCCUGGGCACAGUAGAUAAUUCAGGCCUCUCUCUCUUCUUCUUCUCUGCUGAUGCAAGCAGUUUCUUAGAUUCCAGGCUGAUCCUCGAGCCAUGUAACUGCUGCUCCUCUUGUGCUCCAACAGCCUGCUGGGUAUGCAGAGAGAUGAUUCCCAUAUUUCAAACAUCACAGAAGCUGUCCCUCAGAAAUCUCCAUCUCGGGAAGCAUCCUAGAAGCACCGGCAGUGCAGCUGCUGUUCAGCCCUCGGAACAAAACUCUGCUCCCUUUAGACCAUUCUUUAGCUCACCUGCUCCGUCCCUUGGAAUGCCACAGCAUGACCAGCCCAUGCUGCCUCCCCUUGCAAGGGCACGGGAGGAGACGCUCCCAUGCCCAGCUUUUGGCCUGGAGCUGAACAGCAAGCUCCAGAGCUGGAUCAGUCAUUCCAGGCGUGCCAGGAAACAAUCUGGCAGUCAGUGGUCUCUGGCUGGAGCCAGGCAGACAGACAAGGCUGCCUGCUGCAGCCCGGGCUGCUUUACCCAAGCAGGCCUGCACUGACAGGGAUAGAGACCCACCUCUUCAUGGGAAACAUCUCUGGAAUAAUUCAGGGACGCUGCAGGAGACUGCAAGUCAAUGCCAGUGUCUGCUUGGAUACGAGUCUUUCCCUUCAGGAAGGCCAAGCGUUUCUGCAGAGCCCCUUUGGCAAUUUUAAACGUGGUCAGUGCAGCACUCAGAGUGUUCCCUCUUUCUUCCUUCAAAGCAGCAGCCCCAUGCUUCAACUCUUCCUGCAUGGUUUCCUUUUCACUGUCCAAUUGUUGCAUUCUUUCCUGCUGACUUUGAAUGUUGAGUGCACGCAUUUCAUUUUUCCUUUCCAGAUCUCUCGUCUGCUGCUGGUACAAUGACCGUCCAUGCUGCCAAAACAGGGAGAAAAAGGGUCACUCAUUCCCUCUCUUGGUUUGCUUUUCAUACCAGAUCUGGACUCCUGCAGCAGGGGCAGGCACAGGCUGCCCCUCUCUCUCUGCCCCUCGGGAUGCUGCAGACCUUAGCUGGGAUCCCCCUUGAUGCUGCAUCUUUCCCAGCUCACUCAGCCCCUCCCAGCUUCCUUUCUGCCCUUCCCCGACCUCCUGCAGCUCCACUCCAGUGCUCCUUUGGGGAGGAGCUGCCAGAACGGCAGCCAGGAUUUCAAGUGCACGCUAAGCAGGAUUCAGGCAGUGCCACGAGGAUGUGCUCUCCAUCAGGGAGGAAGGGAAGAGCAAACACCCCCAGCCUUUCUUUCCCUGGGGCUGGGCUGACAGGAGUGGUUUUCCACCUCUCCUGUGUAGAGUUUCCAUGGCUCCAUCCCUGAGAGCCUCACUGCCCUCUCUGGGAGCAGCAAUGGCCAGGUCAGUCUGUCAUUCUCUGCUGCCACUCAGGACGAGUUCUCCCUUUGCAGGCACACGUCCUGGUGGGGAUCAGCACUUGGCUUUCCUCUCCUCUCUCCCCACUGGCUGCUCUCACAUGGCCAAGGCCAAACAGCUUUCUAUUAACAGCAAACUUGGGACUCUCCCCCCUCCUUCCAGAUCCAGAUAUUUAGAAAUCUGAACAUGGGUUUGGACACCAGGAAUUCCCCAAACCAUGCAAUGUCAAUAGGGACAGUGAGGACAUUGAGAACUAAAGGUUCUAGGGGACAGAAGCCCAGCAUGGAGGAAAAUCAGCAGCCUCAGCAUUAAGUGGCUUCACCAUGACUACAGCACUUAUUCAGAAGAAUGGAAUUACAAAAGUUAUACUGGAAAAAGGCGCCCCUUAGAACUGUGAACACAAGGUCCAAACAUAACUAGGAAAUGGCCUUUAGUGGCAUCUGCCAAUCUCACCAGCACAUCCUUCCUUUCCUUCUCCAUGAUUCCCAAUUUCUUCUUCAGAGAUUCCACCUCCUGACGAAGAGUCACAGACUCUUCCCAUCUUUCAGUGGCCUCUUUCUCCAGGGCAGUUACACGAGAAAUGUGCUUGGCUUCUUCCUUCCACCAGUCUGCAGCAGGAAAGGGGAAGGAGAAGUAGAAGGGGAAAAGCAAAGCAAAGCCAAACUGAUGUGCAUCCUGCAGAGACAACAGCACUGUCUUCUCUGCUUGCCUGUGUUUGCCAGGCCCCAAGCCCACGAAGGUUCCAAAGCUGACAGAAAUGAAGGAAAGUUCCCAGUAGAGAAAAAGGCAGGAAUGAAAGGGGCAAGGUUCAGAGGGAUAGGAAAGUGUGUUUGCUCUUGGCCUUGUGCAGAGUGAGCAAGGCAAGAGAGAUGAAGGAGAGGGGAUGCCUGUGCAGGCCUGCUCCAGAGAGACCAAUAGCCUGGAGGCUCUGGCAGGGCCUGGAUUUUGGGGGAAUGGAGCUGAGGCAUCCAGCUACAGCUCCUCAGCUGGUGAGACAGCAUGGGGCAGUGAGUGGCAGAGGAGAAGCUGUACCUUGCUCACAUUCCUCCAACUCCUUCUGCAGCUCCAGAUUGCAGGCUCUGAGGUUGUCUCUCUGAGCCUCUGUUUUCCUCAGCUCCAGCUCCACAGCCUUACACUGUGUGGCCAAGGCAAGAGCUUUGUCCUCAGAGCUCUGGAGCUUCACACGCAGGUCAGACACCUCAGCCUCCAGGACGUGCACAGAGUCCCUCAAAGAGCGUUCUCCUGCUCGAGACUCUUCCAGCUCCUUCAGCAGCUUCUUCUGUCGAGUUGCCUGGGAAGCCUCCAUCUGCAGCACUGCGUCCUGCAGGGCCAGGAUCUGGAAGAUGGAUGCACACAGCCUCAGGGACAGGGCUGCUCCUGAGGGAGCAGAGUGGGCCGCAGGGAGAGCAACAAAGGAGAAAAGGUUUCAGGCAAAAAACAUGUCAAAACCAGAAGGCACAGAAGCAAGGAUUCCAAUGGAGAGAAAUGUAGAGAAAACAAGUAAGGGAGGCACUGGGCAUCCUUGGGCGGCAGCUCUGAACAGCGGCUCAACUGGCUGUGCUGGAAGUGCCCUGCCCAGCCUGCCACAGCCACCUCUGUGUCCCCACAUUGCUCAGUGCCCGGCACAGGCCCACACUCUGUCUGGGACAGCACUGCUAACAGAGGGACAGAGAAGACCCAGAGGAGUCUGCUGCUGCUUCUCUUCCCAGACUUCCUACUGGGACCCUGGAGAGGAUGGGGGAAAACUUCUGCAGCAGACACCAGAUCCAGCCUCGGCCUCAGGGUGCAGCAGCAGCCCCGGGCAGAACACGGCAGCUGUGGAUGCUGCUGGGAGGGGAAAGAGGUUGUAGCCUCCAAGCCAAAGGUGCUGUUGUGUGUCCCUGGAGAAGAGGAUGCCACUGCACAGCUUACCUGCGUGUUGAGCUCCCGCAGUUGUCCAGCACGGUUGGAAGAGAGCUGUUCGGCCAGCUGAAGGGCAGAUUGACACUGAGACACCUGAUUGUUCAGUGCCAGGUUCUGCUCUUCCAGCGAUCUGAGGCACACAUUCUUCUCCUCCAGAGACAGAAUCAGGCUAGAAGGGAAGCAAGCAACUCAUUACUAACUGAUAUCACAUUUUAUCAACUCUUAGGACUUGCAUCAGCUCAGGGGAAAACUGCUCUGUCUGAUGAGGUUUGUCUGAACAACUUGGCCAUUUGUUCCCCCUGCAGUCCCAGCCCAGCAUGUGCCUACUCUGCUUUGUCCCUGAAGGAACAGUGAGUUCCUGCCUACAUGCCCUACCUUCUUUUUGAGAUGGAAAUGUGAAUUCAAACAUAACAAAGUCUUGCCAUGAAGACAUUAGGGAAGAGGAACAAUUUCCUUCUAACUAACCAGGCUCCAAACAGGGAAGUUUGGUCAACAUGGAAGAGACAUUUGCUUCCCCCACCUUACACAUCCAGGUAGGAUGAGCAGCACCCUACAGCCAGGGGAUCUCUGGCAAGAUCCCUAAGAUUUACCAGCACCCCUCCUAAUUUCACCUAGAGAAACAAUGGCUAAAGUGGCAACCGAGGCUUGGAGCACAACCUGAUGGAAGAUGCAAAAGGCUCCAGGCAAGCAGGAGUGCCCUGCCUUUCCUUUGUCUUCUUGGAGGAAGAAUCCUGUGGCACUGAAGCCUGGCAGGACUUGAUCAGCUGCAGGAGCCCCCCAUACCUUGGUGCUGUUUCUUGCAUUCUUGGCACAGUCAGAAAUGCCUGUGACUGUGCAAGGUGGCAGGGACCCUGCUUGACCCCCUGCAGGCAGCUGGGGACAUUUGAUGAGGAAGGAUGCAACAGAGACAUUCUUGUUUCUGGGCUGCCUCCGAGGGCAAUCUGGCCUAGAUCAGUAAUCAGGGUCUUAAGAUGGUUCUGUCCAGAAAUAGCAUCAGAUGCCAGGCUGAUCCAGAUCCCAAAGGCUUCAAGUUACAGGACCCAAGGUGGAGCUGAUGGAUGUAUCCAGCUCCUUACAGCGCAGCUCGGGCAGUGACAACACACCCACCUAACCACAGUGUCAACACACCCACCUAACCACACAAUACACCCUAGAGGGAAAGAGCCCCCCUAAAAAUCUUUGUCUUCAGAAGAACUCUGUCUGAAGGCUUAAAAGAAAAGAAAAUGAAACACAACAUCCAGAAAAUCAGAUGUGAUUGCAUGGAGAGUUCAGAAUCUGCCAUUCAGGAAAUGCUGCCAGAGUCCCUGGCAGGUGAAAGAAGGCAAAGAGGGAAUCCAUUCACCACAAUGUAGAGUCCCACAGGCUUUCAUUUACCUGGCUUUUUCCUUCUCUAGGGCAUUCACUGACGCCUGCAGUUCUGAAUUCUGCUGAGCCACUUCUUCCCAGUGACUCUGUUCCCUGUCUAAGUUCUGCAGAUGCUCCUGCAGCUGCUUGUUCUGAUGUUCUGCCUCCUCCAGCAGCUUCUGGAUGUGCUCAAUCUCCAACAUCUUCUGCCUGGAGUCUUCCUGGGCCUCCUUCACAUCUUGCUGGGCUCUCUGCACAGUCAUUUCCUGGCAUUCUCGGGAGGCUUCCAGCUGAGAUGUCAACUCUCCCACCUCCAGUCAAAGAGGACAAAGCAGUCAGAGGCUAGAGCCACAGCUUCUCACUCUCAGCCACAGCAAGGCUGUGAGCAAAGGUAAAGGACAAUUUCCAUUUCUCCCUGUCCUGAGAGCACCAGAUUCACAAAGCACAUGGACAACUUGUUUCAGUCUCUCAGUGGCCCACCACCAAGGGCACCUGAAAAAGCACCUGCCAAGCCAAGGCUAGCAAGAAGAGGCCAGCAGGAAUCCAUGCUGGUGGUUGCUGGCCAACAGCACAGAGGACUAGCCCAGCUGUCCUGAGCAGCAGCUGACAUUCAGCAGAGGAUUGAGUGUCCCCCAGAGCAGCUGCCAUGGAGCUCCCAGAGCAGGAGACAGCCCCAGGGCUCACCCCAGCAGCUGCUGCUCUGCCAUGGAAAAGCAAAAAGGCCACAGACCCCUGGCUUCAUGACUGCAGUGUCACUGCAGUUUCACUCACCUGCUUUUGUAGAGCCUCCCUCUGCUCAAGGAGGAGAUUCAUUUCCUCUUUGAGGCCUUGUAGCUCUUCCUCAUGCCUCCUCUGCACUGCCUGGACUUCACUGCGAACCUCCUGCAGCUCAUCUUGCAGAUUUGCCUUGAUGAUAUGGCAACAAAAAGCUGAGCAACUCCCUGGGACCUGCCCUCAGGCUCACCUCUUUCCAUGUGCUGCCCCAAAAUCCCAUUCCCUCUGCUGCUUCUUUUGGCUUCUCUCCCCAGCUCUGCUUCACUGCAAGCCUUCCUUCCUGGGGCUGAGCUCUGGAGCUUACCAGGCUCUGUGCUCCCAGGGCCUGAAGCAGCCCUUGCUUCCUCAGUCCCAGGAGCUGCCUUUUGUGCCCUGGUCACUGCCCUGUCCUCUGUAGCCUGCCUACUCACACUCACCUGCCCCUUCUCUUGCUGCUCUUUCACCUCCUGCCUGAGCUGCUGGACCUGCUGGCGGGCUCGGCUGAGCUCUCCCUGAGUUUGGAGCAGUGCCUCUGCUAAAGCACUCUUCUCCUCCUGCUCUUCCAGCAGGACCUGCACAGAAGGAAAGAGCAGACGCCUUCACACUUCUCCUGCAACAUCCCUGUGGCAAGGGGCAAAGACUGAUGGGCUCACGUGCUCUCAGAGCACUUGGCUGCUGCUGCCCUGGGCCACUGCCUGCUCUGGGGGAGACACAGCUUCCCAGGAAGUGACUUAAAACACAGCCCCGAAGACAUCUCUGGGUUACUGUUCAGAAAUACUCCAGGCAAGCCUUUAAAAAGAUCUUUAUCCUGUCAGCAUUCCUGCUACACCCUCCCCAUGCCCACUAAAGAAAAGUCCUACAAACUCACCUUGGCCAUGAAUAUAUACGAGUACACACACAAUUAGAAAAGAGAAACUUGAAAAAGGCGCCCCUUAGAACUGUGAACACAAGGUCCAAACAUAACUAGGAAAUGGCCCUUUGUGGCGAUCUUCAAAUCUCACCAGCACAUCCUUCCUUUCCUUCUCCAGGUCCUCCAAUUUCCUCUGCAGAGAUUCCACCUCCUGACGAAGAGUCACAGACUCUUCCUGCCUUUCAGUGGCCUCUUUCUCCAGGGCAAUUUGGUGAGAGAUUUGCCUGGCUUCUGCCAGCACCCACUCUGCAGCAGAGAAGGGGAAGGAGAAGUAGAAGGGGAAAAGCAAAGCAAAGCCAAACUGAUGUGCAUCCUGCAGAGACAACAGCACUGUCUUCUCUGCUUGCCUGUGUUUGCCAGGCUCCAAGCCCACGAAGGUUCCAAAGCUGACAGAAAUGAAGGAAAGUUCCCAGUAGAGAAAAAGGCAGGAAUGAAAGGGGCAAGGUUCAGAGGGAUAGGAAAGUGUGUUUGCUCUUGGCCUUGUGCAGAGUGAGCAAGGCAAGAGAGAUGAAGGAGAGGGGAUGCCUGUGCAGGCCUGCUCCAGAGAGACCAAUAGCCUGGAGGCUCUGGCAGGGCCUGGAUUUUGGGGGAAUGGAGCUGAGGCAUCCAGCUACAGCUCCUCAGCUGGUGAGACAGCAUGGGGCAGUGAGUGGCAGAGGAGAAGCUGUACCUUGCUCACAUUCCUCCAACUUCUUCUGCAGCUCCAGGUUGCAGGCUCUGAGGUUGUCUCUCUGAGCCUCUGUUUUCCUCAGCUCCAGCUCCACAGCCUUACAUUGUGUGGCCAAGGCAAGAGCUUUGUCCUCAGAGCUCUGGAGCUUCACACGCAGGUCAGACACCUCAGCCUCCAGGACGUGCACAGAGUCCCUCAAAGAGCGUUCUCCUGCUCGAGACCCUUCCAGCUCCUUCAGCAGCUUCUUCUGUCGAGUUGCCUGGGAAGCCUCCAUCUGCAGCACUGCGUCCUGCAGGGCCAGGAUCUGGAAGAUGGAUGCACACAGCCUCAGGGACAGGGCUGCUCCUGAGGGAGCAGAGUGGGCCGCAGGGAGAGCAACAAAGGAGAAAAGAUUUCAGGCAAAAAACAUGUCAAAACCAGAAGGCACAGAAGCAAGGAUUCCAAUGGAGAGAAAUGUAGAGAAAACAAGUAAGGGAGGCACUGGGCAUCCUUGGGCGGCAGCUCUGAACAGCGGCUCAACUGGCUGUGCUGGAAGUGCCCUGCCCAGCCUGCCACAGCCACCUCUGUGUCCCCACAUUGCUCAGUGCCCGGCACAGGCCCACACUCUGUCUGGGACAGCACUGCUAACAGAGGGACAGAGAAGCCCCAGAGGAGUCUGCUGCUGCUUCUCUUCCCAGACUUCCUGCUGGGACCCGGGAGAGGAUGGGGGAAAACUUCUGCAGCAGACACCAGAUCCAGCCUCGGCCUCAGGGUGCAGCAGCAGCCCCGGGCAGAACACGGCAGCUGUGGAUGCUGCUGGGAGGGGAAGGAGGUUGGAGCCUCCAAGCCAAAGGUGCUGUUGUGUGUCCCUGGAGAAGAGGAUGCCACUGCACAGCUUACCUGCGUGUUGAGCUCCCGCAGUUGUCCAGCACGGUUGGAAGAGAGCUGUUCGGCCAGCUGAAGGGCAGAUUGACACUGAGACACCUGAUUGUUCAGUGCCAGGUUCUGCUCUUCCAGCGAUCUGAGGCACACAUUCUUCUCCUCCAGAGACAGAAUCAGGCUAGAAGGGAAGCAAGCAACUCAUUACUAACUGAUAUCACAUUUUAUCAACUCUUAGGACUUGCAUCAGCUCAGGGGAAAACUGCUCUGUCUGAUGAGGUUUGUCUGAGCAACUUGGCUGUUUGUUCCUCAUGCAGUCCCAGCCCAGCAUGUGCCUACUCUGCUUUGUCCCUGAAGGAACAGUGAGUUCCUGCCUACAUGCCCUACCUUCUUUUUGAGAUGGAAAUGUGAAUUCAAACAUAACAAAGUCUUGUCAUGAAGACAUUAGGGGAGAGGAACAAUUUCCUUCUGACUAACCAGGCUCCAAACAGGGAGGUUUGGUCAACAUGGAGGAGACAUUUGCUUCCCCCACCUUACACAUCCAGGUAGGAUGAGCAGCACCCUACAGCCAGGGGAUCUCUGGCAAGAUCCCUAAGAUUUACCAGCACCCCUCCUAAUUUCACCUAGAGAAACAAUGGCUAAAGUGGCAACCGAGGCUUGGAGCACAACCUGAUGGAAGAUGCAAAAGGCUCCAGGCAAGCAGGAGUGCCCUGCCUUUCCUUUGUCUUCUUGGAGGAAGAAUCCUGUGGCACUGAAGCCUGGCAGGACUUGAUCAGCUGCAGGAGCCCCCCAUACCUUGGUGCUGUUUCUUGCAUUCUUGGCACAGUCAGAAAUGCCUGUGACUGUGCAAGGUGGCAGGGACCCUGCUUGACCCCCUGCAGGCAGCUGGGGACAUUUGAUGAGGAAGGAUGCAACAGAGACAUUCUUGUUUCUGGGCUGCCUCCGAGGGCAAUCUGGCCUAGAUCAGUAAUCAGGGUCUUAAGAUGGUUCUGCCCAGAAAUAGCAUCAGAUGCCAGGCUGAUCCAGAUCCCAAAGGCUUCAAGUUACAGGACCCAAGGUGGAGCUGAUGGAUGUAUCCAGCUCCUUACAGCACAGCUCUGUCAGUGACAACACACCCACCUAACCACACAAUAUACCCUAGAGGGAAAGAGCCCCCCUAAAAAUCUUUGUCUUCAGAAGAACUCUGUCUGAAGGCUUAAAAGAAAAGAAAAUGAAACACAACAUCCAGAAAAUCAGAUGUGAUUGCAUGGAGAGUUCAGAAUCUGCCAUUCAGGAAAUGCUGCCAGAGUCCCUGCCAGAUGAAAGAAGGCAAAGAGGGAAUCCAUUCACCACAAUGCAGAGUCUUACAGGCUUUCAUUUACCUGGCUUUUUCCUUCUCUAGGGCAUUCACUGACGCCUGCAGUUCUGAAUUCUGCUGAGCCACUUCUUCCCAUUUACUCCAUUCCGUCUCCAAGUUCUGCAGAUGCUCCUGCAGCUGCUUGUUCUGAUGUUCUGCCUCCUCCAGCAGCUUCUGGAUGUGCUCAAUCUCCAACAGCUUCUGCCUGGAGUCUUCCUGGGCCUCCCUCCCAUCUUGCUGGGCUCUCUGCACAGUCAUUUCCUGGCAUUCUCGGGAGGCUUCCAGCUGAGAUGUCAACUCUCCCACCUCCAGUCAAAGAGGACAAAGCAGUCAGAGGCUAGAGCCACAGCUUCUCACUCUCAGCCACAGCAAGGCUGUGAGCAAAGGUAAAGGACAAUUUCCAUUUCUCCCUGUCCUGAGAGCACCAGAUUCACAAAGCACAUGGACAACUUGUUUCAGUCUCUCAGUGGCCCACCACCAAGGGCACCUGAAAAAGCACCUGCCAAGCCAAGGCUAGCAAGAAGAGGCCAGCAGGAAUCCAUGCUGGUGGUUGGUGGCCAACAGCGCAGAGGACUGGCCCAGCUGUCCUGAGCAGCAGCUGACAUUCAGCAGAGGAUUGAGUGUCCCCCAGAGCAGCUGCCAUGGAGCUCCCAGAGCAGGAGACAGCCCCAGGGCUCACCCCAGCAGCUGCUGCUCUGCCAUGGAAAAGCAAAAAGGCCACAGACCCCUGGCUGCAUGACUGUAGUGUCACUGCAGUUUUACUCACCUGCUUUUGUAGAGCCUCCCUCUGCUCGAGGAGGAGAUUCAUUUCCUCUUUGAGGCCUUGUAGCUCUUCCUCAUGCCUCCUCUGCACUGCCUGGACUUCACUGCGAGCCUCCUGCAGCUCAUCUUGCAGCUCUGCCUCCACUUGCUUCCUGGUCAUCUGCAGCUGUGAUAUCUGCUGCUGAGCAGCAAACAGCUUGGAUUGCAGUCUCUCCUUUGCUGACCUACAAGUUACAAAUGUGGACAUACAUGAGUUGCUUGCUCCAGACGCCCACAGCCCGGUAUUCCAGGACAACGUGGCUCAAGAUCCCCACACCUGAGUAUGGAAAAUGGGUCACCUUGAAACUCAUCCAGAGAAGGCACAUCUGGGCCAUUUCAAGAGCACAGCAGGGCCCUCUGAGGGACUGCCCAGGCCUUCCUUAUGGCCUGGCAUAGCACGGACUGCCCAGCCCAAGCUGGCCUCAACAGCCAAACCUUCAGUUGCUGUUCCUGACCUAUGACACUGGGUAGCUGUGCCCAAACAGGGUGGAGCAAAUAGCAAAAGCCCAGCCUUGCUCACAGCCUUUCUCUCAUCAGCACUUCCAAGCUGCUCUGCAGGGGGAGAGAACAGAUUCUUGUCCUGGCUGACUCCUGACUUUUUAAUGCUCUUGAUAAUGGACAUAAAGGUACAUCAUCCUCCAGACACUCUGUAUUUAAGAGGCUUCAGAACUACUUUGCAAAUACAGUAAAAUCUCAUGGUCAGGGCAGCACUUGUAAAAAAUCACAACAGCCUUUGCCUGAACAACAACUACCUGAAUGCAGAGACUGCACUUUCAACUCUUGCAAGGUCAUGGGGUAGACUUGCCACCUUUAUUUUAGUGUUGCCCUCUAAGCAGGCAGUAGCCCAAGGGACUUGUCCUUCCUUACAGAGUGAGAGGGACCAUCCAAAGGCACCUUGGAGGCUUUGGCAGCUGGCUGCCCAUCAACAAUCAUCAAGAGUGCCCAGAGGCUGUUGAGAAUUCCAAAGAGCUUUCCCUGCUGCUCUCUAACCCGCUCUAUGUCCUGUCCCACACUUCUCAAGAGUGUUCUUGGAAGUAGAAAUGCCUCAAGAUUUUCAGCAGGAGCCUUUGGCUUCACCCUGAAUGGCAGUGUGCUACGCCCAAAGUGCCAAGGUAAGAUCCUGGAAUGCUGAAGAUGAAGCUUCCUGAUCUGAAGAUCAGGAUCAUGUCAAGCUACUUGGAAAGGAAUGAGGGAUGUUCAAUGCCCAGAACAAGGAACCAAACCCAAGAGAAACCUGAGGUUUCACUCAUCUGCAUGGUUGAACUACUACUCAGUUCAGGGCUGGGUGGAUUGCUUUUGACAUCCCACAGGAGCGUGCUCGGUGGCACAAACAGGAGCCCAAGGCUCACGAGAACUUUGCUGGCUUUAGGUGUCAGAAGAAUAACCUUCAUUUUGUGGUUUUUUUGUUUUUUUCUUGAGACACUUCCAUAUUCGGUCCACAGCAUGUAAAAACAUCUGAAAAGGCUGAGCUCCCUGCUUUUACCUGGUCUCUGCCAGCUGCCUGGCAAGGUCUUGUCGGAGCCACUCGGUGGCUGCCAGUCGGCCCUCAAGGUCAGCCUUCUGGCCCAGCAGCUCCUCCUCUUGCCACACCUGGGCCACUUCAUGCCCUUGGUCAGAGGAUUCCUGGCUCAGAUACUCCAGAGACCAGCUGGAUGACUCUUGCUCCAGAGAAUCCUGCAAGUGGGACAAGGUACAGCUCGAGCCCUUCCUCAAGUGCCCUGUGCAAAGCCAGCCAGUGCCACCUCGCAGGCAGCCAGAGGACAAGGAGCACCUGUGCCCUGGGCUCAAAGUUUCCCCAGCUCCGUUCCCUGUUUUAGAGGCUCUGUGGCUGCCCAAAGCCAUACAUUUUGCAGAAGCAUGCAACACUUUGCUGAUGAACAUGCAUAUCCCUGCCUAAGAAAUGCGUGUGCCAUCUUGAGCCAGGUGUGCACAGCAGUGUGCCUGUCCUCUACUGCCAGAAAGAGCAUCUGGGCUGAUCUGGCUGCCACAACUGCCACUCCCACAGGUGCUGCCCAGCAAUAAGGUGUUCAGAGCCGUGCUAACAUCAUCCCUCUCUUGCUCCAGCAGAUCCCUCUGAAGCUGCAAUUCCUCCAAUGUCUGCCUCUUGACUUCCAGCUGCCUCUGCAAUGAUGGCUCUUUUCCCUCGAGCGCAGCCAAGUCCUCCACUGUACAAGAAGGGGCAAGAUGAGUUUUCAAGGGAAAACCAGUCUCCUUUCCAAAACCAACCUCCAUCAUGUCCUGCUGCUCUGUCUUUUCUGCCUGGGCUGAUGCUUCCUUCUGCUGCUUGGUGCUCUUCUGAUGCAGACAAAAGGCUCCUGGCUCUGGGAUUCCGGUGCAUUGCAGCAGAAUUUCCCUGGACUUCUCAAGGUUUGCACAGUCACUGCAGAGACAAGGCUCAGUCAGAAGAAACAAGAGGCCUGAAGAGUCAGCAGUGCCAUUUUCAGCACUCCAGGAUGGAGCUGGGGGCAGUGGGCUAAGGAAGACCUUGGUCUUUCCCUCCCAAGGAAAUCCUGCAGAGGCAAAGGGAAAGGAAGGCAGGAUUAUGCCUUCCUUCAGUAAGAAGCAGUGGCUGGGCAGGGGCACGCAAAGAACAGAAUUCAGGGAAGCAGCACAGCGAGAAGGAGUCUUCUAUUCCAGCAUGGCUCUGCAUCUCCUAGACAGCCGUGGGAGGCACAGUAGAGCAUGAAAAACCCAGACAGGACAAUGCUCGAGAGCCACACUGAGGCCUACACAUGGUAGGCAGGUGAUUUCUUCUCCAGGACACCUCUGACCUCCCAGGCCUGGAAGCAGAUUGCCUCUGGAAUGCAGGAGGAGGAGGAGGAAAUGCUCACCUACUGAUUUCUUCUAGCAGAGAGUCUAUGAUUUGGUAUUGGCUUCUGAUCCUCUGGGUUCUCUCCUCUAUUUGGUCAAACUGUUGCCACAUGCGCCCACAAUUCUCUGUAGCUUCCCGAGCCAAUUCAAAGGGAUGCUGCUCAUCAGUGGAUGUCAGAGUGGAGAGGAUGUUCCCAGGAUUGUGGGUGGAAAUGAUGGAAUUGGCCAUGCUGUCACCGUUGUCUGCCAGCACCUGAAAGCCCACAUCCAGCUGUUAGUCAGGUAUUGUGUUCCUAUUCCAAAGUAGCACUGAAAUGCCUCUUCUGAUCCCACAAGAACCAGUGUCCAUUCAUGGAGAGCCAGUUUCAAAAUGCCAGCCAGCUCAGCACAGUUUACUCACCUCAGGGGGUCUGGAGGAACGUCCCUGGUGAGAAAGCCCUCGAGCUCCCUGCAAGUGCACAGGGAAGAGCACACUCAGACUGCAUGGCUGCCCCUGAGGCAGUUGCCUCUAAGUGCUUCCCAGCCUGUCCCAGAGCACAGCACUUCCAGCUGAGCUCUUCCUCCCCUCCGUGGCAAUAUUUUCAGCCCAGCAGUUUGACAGCAGCACAAAGAAACAUGCUGGAAGGUGUCUCAUCACUUCUAAGAACACCAGAAGGGGAGCUGCCCAGAGCCCAAUCCAUCCUGGCCGUGAACACCCCCAGGGAUCCAGGGGCAGCCACAACUUCUCUGGGCAACCUCAAGCCUGGGUGCCAGGGCCUCAGCACCCUCAGAGGGCAGAAUUCCCUGCCAACAUCCCAUCCAUCCCUGUCCUGUCUUGGUGGGAAGGCUUGUCCUGUCCCUGCAGGUCCCUGGCUUAAGUCCCUCUCCAGUUCUCUUGCAGCCCUUUCAUGCAUUGGAAGGGGCGCUAAGGUCACCCUGGAACCUUCUCCAGCCUGGACAACCCCAACUCUUGCAUCCUUUUCCCUUGGCACAGGUGCUCCAGCCCUUGGAGCAUCUUCCUAUGAUCCUUGUGACCUCCUCUGAGCCACUGGGGAUCAUUUUGGAGAUGUCUGGGAGAAACUCAUUCUUGACUCUGGGAAGCGCUGACGCUGUUCUGUAAUUUGGGUGAGGGGAAGGCAAUGAAAAGCUGCCGCCUUGUUUGUGCCCAUGGCCUCCAGUGGGACAAGGACAGAGGAGGAGAUGUGGCUGUGCUCUGGGAUAUCCAGGAGCCCCCUAUUCCCUCCCAGGCCUGUCCCCAGGGCAAGCACCACAGCUGCUGCCAGCUCUGGAACAGCCAACUGUUAAUCCCUUGCUAAUCCCAAAGGGAACUGUUCCCUGAGGCACAGCCCAGGCCCACCCAGGCCCCUGCAGGGCUUGGCACAAGGAGAGCAGCGGCCUUGACACUCACCCUCCGGGUCUCCAUCCGCCCCUUGGCACCAGCAGUGAGGAAGCAGCAGUGACCAAAAGCCCUUGGCCUUAGCAGGGUCUAAACCCCAGUGACCAAAGGCCCUUGGCCUUUGCAGGGUCUAAACCCCAAUAUCCAAAGGCCCUUGGCCUUUGCAGGGUGUACACCCCAAUAUCCAAAGGCCCUUGGCCUUUGCAGGGUCUACACCUCAAUAUCCAAAGGUUCUUGGCCUUUGCAGGGUCAAUAGCACACGAGUGCCGUUGGCCUUUGCAAGGUCCAAGCCCCAAAGAGCACGAGCUGUUGACAGCUCCAGGGUCCAAACCCCAAUAGCCAGGAGCUGCUGAUUGUUGCCAGGAUCCAAUCCCCAGCAUUCCAUGGCCUUUGUGACAGUUGCCAGGGUCAUACCCCCAGCAUUCCAUGGCCUUUGUGAUGGCUGCCAGGGUCCAAACCCCAGCACUCCAGGGGCUGUUGGAGAGGCCCUCCCUGGCUCUCCCCCCACCCCAGCUCCCUGCUGCUCCUGGCACAGGCCCUGCCUCCCCUGGGUCCCCAGAGCCCUCCUGGGCAGCUGGGCAGGGACCUGGCUCAUAAGUCAGUGCUAAGGCUCAGCAUUCUCAAACUGCAGGUUCUUUAGGGAUGUGCUUAGUUCCUGAGUCACAGGAAUUCUUCUGUCUUCCCUGACAAAGGGCACAUGAAACAAAAAGCCUAAAAAGUUUCUUGGUGCUUACAAAUAUUCAUGGAAAGUAAAGCUUUGCAUUGAGAACAGACACAUGUGGAGGAAGAAUGGUGUUUCAUGGGCUUUUCAAAUUUCUACAGAGAAAUGCCAAGAGCUGCAGGUUUUAAGGCUCAUCAAAUAGAUUAAGAACACUGAGACACAACCACAAAUGCAUUUUUCUCUCUGCUUUCUGUUUGGCAUUAUAUCACUCAGUCUUGUAGGCAGAAGAAAAGUCUUGCUGCUUACAUCAAAGAUUCCUUGCUAGGAACAGACCUUCAAGAACCAAAUGAGUCUGCUUGCAGAAGCUUUGGCAGGUACUUUUUGCCCUCAUCUUCGAUAGUGUUCAUCUGUGUCCUAGGGAGGAUUUUGUGCCCCAGUUGACACGAAUGGGCUUCUGAGCAGGGCACAAAUCCUGCGUGGAAGAGAAGAGCUGCACCUGCCUUCUCUAAGGCCUGUCUCUCCAGAGACAGAUGGCCCAAGGAUGUCACUGCCAAGUUCAGGUUCAGAGAGCGAUGCAGCUUCAAGUCUCUGCUUCCACAAGAGCAGCUUUGGGCUCCUUGAGUAGAGCUGCAAAGGAGCAGGACAGCUCCUGGUGAAGGUCUGACAGCUCCUGCCUGGUCCUUGCACAGCUCUCAGUGUAGUUCUGCCGGUGCUGUCGGUCUUGGGCCAGCUGUGACUGCAGCAGGGACACCUGAAAGAGGCACAAGGCCCAGCUCAGACAAGCCCACGCUGGCAGGAGCACCUGCAGCGCCACGGUUCCGGCUCUCGGGGCAGACACAGCCUCCAACUCCAGCCCUCAUCAACACUCUGCCCUUGGGCAAGGGGAAAGGAACAGGCUCCCAGACAGAACAGAGCUCAGAUGGUCAACAAGUCCAGCUCAAGGCUGGCAAACCCUUCCCACGUACAUCCCUCAGCCACCACCAGGUCUAGUACAGAGACUUCCAACGGGAUUUAGGAACCAUUUGGUGAUUUCCAAAGCACACAUUAGGGCCACUCACCUCUUUCUCCACAGGCUGUGCCUCAGCACGAGGGCUGCUGCUCCCCUGAGCUCAUGGAGGACUCUUCUACUUGAGCUGCUGGGCUGCCAGCCCAGGCAUGAGGGGAAUGUGGUGCUUGGGUUUUUUUGGUGCUUUCUUGAGGCAUUUGAGCACCCCAAGCCCCUGUUUAUCCCCAUUGUGAAAAACAAGGUUCACUCUCCUGUAAAAAUUUAGAAGUUGAAUAAAGGACAAUAAGAGACAAAGAUAAUAAAGCAAAGUUUUGGUGGUGUGUGCUUGGCAUUUAGCCAAGAGCACACCUGCCAUUUCAGA